rnacentral:rRNA from 1 species
GCACAAGCGGUGGAGCAUGUGGUUAAUUCGAAGCAACGCGAAGAACCUUACCAGGUCUUGACAUCCCGAUGCUAUUUCUAGAGAUAGAAGUUACUUCGGUACAUCGGUGACAGGUGGUGCAUGGUUGUCGUCAGCUCGUGUCGUGAGAUGUUGGGUUAAGUCCCGCAACGAGCGCAACCCCUAUUGUUAGUUGCCAUCAUUCAGUUGGGCACUCUAGCGAGACUGCCGGUAAUAAACCGGAGGAAGGUGGGGAUGACGUCAAAUCAUCAUGCCCCUUAUGACCUGGGCUACACACGUGCUACAAUGGUUGGUACAACGAGUUGCGAGUCGGUGACGGCGAGCUAAUCUCUUAAAGCCAAUCUCAGUUCGGAUUGUAGGCUGCAACUCGCCUACAUGAAGUCGGAAUCGCUAGUAAUCGCGGAUCAGCACGCCGCGGUGAAUACGUUCCCGGGCCUU